UAUUCUUUAUAAACUAGAAGAAAAGAAAGGAAAGGCCAUUAAAUCAUUUGCGCUAUCCAAAAAUGCUUGUGGAGCAAUUGAGAGGACCCUAUCGCCGGCAUCGUGAUCAAGCGUCGAUGUCGAUCAUUGAUGAACCCCGACUAAAUGGAAAGCUCCAUGUUGUUUUGAAAGGGGUAAAGAGGGAUUGCAAGGUUUGCUCUGACCAUAGUAAGCCUGGCAGUAGGUGUGAAACCUCAUAUUAUUGUGAUACAUGCCUUGACAAACUGAGGAUACAUCUCGGGAAUUGUUUUGUAAAAUAUCACUCAAAAACCAAAUACAGAGAGAUC
rnacentral:lncRNA from 1 species